AUGGUGAAGAAUCAAAGGGUUGAAGAUUAUCUUUGAUUAUGAGGGAGAGUCAUAUUGCAUGGACUUUGAAGAGGAGGAUGACAAGCAGCAGCUGAUUUUGGACCUGGUUUAUGACUUUUGCAGCCUAAUAGAAACCUCACUUUACUGUCGGCUGGAUGAUCUACAAAGUGUUUUAUGAAGUGGUGGCACCACUACGUGUCGCACUCUCCACAGCCUGAGCCUCUAUAAAUUGGAAGCUGGAAGAGUGGUAGCCAAGUGUUCACUUCCUGUGUCUGGGACCAGGUGUGCGGUGGAUCCACGCUGUUUGCUGACUGUGGGCCAUGGUGGUAGCAUUACAUGGGCGUGUGGUUGUUCAACGUCGCAGGGCCGCAGUAUUGUAUUGUCUUUUGUUUGUCCCUGGGUCAUUUCCUGCAUACUUACAUUCCUGCUAAUCUUAAAUAUUUGCAACCCGAACCUGUUUGGUGUGAUCUUGGGUGUGAAUUGCAUGUGGUUAUCUUGCAGUGAAUCAAGUGCAUCUUAAGUUUGCAGUGAAUUUUGUAGUGGUUUAUGCGGAUUUGUCCACCUGAAGUGGUAUCUUAAUUAGGGUUGAAUAUUCUCAGAUUAGCAAUAAAUGGAUGAAGUUAAUGGGAACCCUCUUAUUUGUGUAACAAUAAAGAUUGUAAUAAUUAAUUUUGUUCCGAUUGUUUAUUGCCCUUUGGCCACAGCAAGAAGUAACAUCAUUAGGCAACAUCUAACCUGUAACAUUUCCCGUUGUUAGACAAACAAGUACAGCAAGUGGCUUUUUUUUGUUUUUGAGUUAUUGUGUGUGAAUUAG